GAAUCGCCGCCUCUUGCGGAUUUUUCCUGCUCGAAUCCGCCACCGUCCGCUUGUGCUCAGGACCUCCCGUUACCCCGUCUAUGCCACAGAGCGCGUGCUGCCCUGUCCUGCACCAACAUCCAGCACCAUGUCUUGUUGAAACACAGUACCCACAAGGAGCAUUGCAACGAGCUGGGAGUUCUUGCGGCUGGCUCCUGCGGCUGUCACUGCAAGUCAUGCUCUUCAUUGCGUGAAGCAGCCGAGCACAAGUGUGCACAACAUGAAUUAAGGUGCGGAGAUGAAGAGCUCACUUUUCGUAAUCCGCGGAGUUCACUUCUCCUAAUUCGUGAAGAAAUGUAGCUACACUGGGGGUUCACUCGUGUAUCCUCGACAGUCUAGCGGGCUUCUCGAAGGAGUCCAGCACGCGACCGCACCCCGAAGUCCACCUGCAGCUCCGUGGAUACUCAGGCGGACCGCUGCCAGAUAACUUCACUCACGUCAUGGAAGCAAUAAUGUCUUAGGAGUCCACGGCUUUGGCGAGUCUCUCAUG